rnacentral:rRNA from 1 species
AGCAUAUCAAUAAGCGGAGGAAAAGAAACCAACCGGGAUUGCCUCAGUAACGGCGAGUGAAGCGGCAAGAGCUCAAAUUUGAAAUCUGGCCCCUUGGGGGUCCGAGUUGUAAUUUGCAGAGGAUGCUUCGGGUGCGGUCCCCAUCUAAGUGCCCUGGAACGGGCCGUCAUAGAGGGUGAGAAUCCCGUCUGGGAUGGGCGGCCGUGCCCGUGUGAAGCUCCUUCGACGAGUCGAGUUGUUUGGGAAUGCAGCUCUAAGCGGGUGGUAAAUUUCAUCUAAAGCUAAAUACUGGCCGGAGACCGAUAGCGCACAAGUAGAGUGAUCGAAAGAUGAAAAGCACUUUGAAAAGAGAGUUAAACAGCACGUGAAAUUGUUGAAAGGGAAGCGUUGUCCACCAGACUCGCCCGGGGGGGUUCAGCCGGCACUCGUGCCGGUGUACUCCUCCCCGGGCGGGCCAGCAUCGGUUUGGGCGGCUGGUGAAAGGCCCCGGGAAUGUAACACCCUCCGGGGUGCCUUAUAGCCCGGGGUGCCAUGCAGCCAGCCUGGACCGAGGCCCGCGCUUCGGCGAGGAUGCUGGCGUAAUGGUGGUCAACGGCCCGUCUUGAAACACGGACCAAGGAGUCUAACAUCUAUGCGAGUGUUCGGGUGUCAAACCCGUCCGCGCAGUGAAAGCGAACGGAGGUGGGAGCCCCCCGGGGUGCACCAUCGACCGAUCCUGAUGUCUUCGGAUGGAUUUGAGUAAGAGCAUAGCUGUUGGGACCCGAAAGAUGGUGAACUAUGCCUGAAUAGGGCGAAGCCAGAGGAAACUCUGGUGGAGGCUCGCAGCGGUUCUGACGUGCAAAUCGAUCGUCAAAUUUGGGUAUA